rnacentral:rRNA from 1 species
GUGCCAGCCGCCGCGGUAAUACAUAGGGGUCAAGCGUUGUCCGGAUUUAUUGGGCGUAAAGAGCACGUAGGCGGUUCAACAAGUCGGUCGUAAAAGUUUAGGGCUCAACCCUAAAAUGUCGAUCGAUACUGUUGUGACUAGGAUACGGUAGAGAUGAAUGGAAUUCCGAGUGUAGCGGUGAAAUGCGUAGAUAUUCGGAGGAACACCAACUGCGAAGGCAGUUCACUGGACCGUGAUCGACGCUGUGGAGCGAAAGCGUGGGUAGCGAACAGGAUUAGAUA